GGGUGGGGAACGUCUCUCAUCCACGUGACUGGGAGAGCGGCUGCUCAGCUGCCUGCCAGAUGACUAAUUGAGCCACGUGAGCUUUUUCCAGGCACGCGACCAAGAAGAGCUGAAGCUACAGCAAUGGCUGCUCCUGGAGUUCUGCCUGAGGCCAUCUAAAGACACUUUCUUAAGACCAGAACGAAAGGCUGGCACCAUGGCUCAGUGCUCAAGAGCACACUCUGGCCUUGUAAAGGGCUCCAUUCCUAGUACUUAUGUCAGGCGGCUCACAACGCCCUAUAAUUUUAAGUCCAGGCUCUCUUCUUGCCUCUGGGCAAAUAGGCUCAGUAUGAAUAUACCCUGACACAUUAACACGUACACACAUAAUUUAAACUAAAUCUUAGAAAAUAAAGAAAUGAAGAAAAAAGA